AUGAAGUUGGUUGAAAUGACGCCCAAUGGUGAAAAGAACCACAGAUCUAACUACUCAUUGAAGGUCUGCUGUUCUUCGUGGUCUUCCCCUGUACUUGAGAGAGCCAGCUUCAAUUUCAAAGACUAUUAAGGAUACUGAGACACUGGGGCCACACACAAACGCCAUGAAAAUGGGGAUCCUGGAAGUGACUGACAGUUCUACCAACUCAGGACCAUAUGCCACAGUGGUCAAUGUGGCUGUAGUACUGGAGGAGGACGUUGUCAUGGACAAUCUGGGAGACUUCACAAAUGCCCUCAUGAUGCUUGUUUCGGCACUGGUUGAAUACUUGUGUAAUAUUUUACU